UGUGACAUACUCUCCAAAGCGGAGGAAAAGAAACCAACAGGGAUUGCCUUAGUAGCGGCGAGUGAGCGGCAAAAGCUCAAAUUUGAAAUCUGGCGUAUUCUGCGUCCGAGUUGUAAUUUGAAGAAGGAUACUUUGGGGUUGGCUCUUGUCUAUGUUUCUUGGAACAGAACGUCACAGAGGGUGAGAAUCCCGUGCGAUGAGAAGCCCAAUUCCGUGUAAAGUGCCUUCGAAGAGUCGAGUUGUUUGGGAAUGCAGCUCUAAGUGGGUGGUAAAUUCCAUCUAAAGCUAAAUAUUGGCGAGAGACCGAUAGCGAACAAGUACAGUGAUGGAAAGAUGAAAAGAACUUUGAAAAGAGAGUGAAAAAGUACGUGAAAUUGUUGAAAGGGAAGGGCUUGAGAUCAGACUUGGUAUUUUGUAUGUCUUGCUUUCGGGUGGGGCCUCUGCAGUUUACUGGGCCAGCAUCGGUUCGGGUGGUAGGACAAUUGCGAAGGAACGUGGCACUGCUUCGGUGGUGUGUUAUAGCCUUUGUGGAUACUGCCUGUCUGGACCGAGGACUGCGUCAUUUGACUAGGAUGCUGGCAUAAUGAUCUUAAGUCGCCCGUCUUGAACACGGGGACCA
rnacentral:rRNA from 1 species